rnacentral:rRNA from 1 species
CUCUGUGACUCCUACGGGAGGCAGCAGUGGGGAAUAUUGCACAAUGGCGCAAGCCUGAUGCAGCAACGCCGCGUGAGUGAUGAAGGCCUUCGGGUCGUAAAGCUCUGUCCUCAAGGAAGAAUAAAUGACGGUACUUGAGGAGGAAGCCCCCGGCUAACUACGUGCCAGCAGCCGCGGUAAUACGUAGGGGCAAGCGUUAUCCGGAAUCACUGGGCGUAAAGGGGUGCGUAGGCGGUUUUCAAGUCAGAAGUGAAAGGCUAUGGCUCAACCAUAGUAAGCUUUUGAAACUGUUAAACUUGAGUGCAGGAGAGGAAAGUGGAAUUCCUAGUGUAGAGGUGAAAUUCGUAGAUAUUAGGAGGAACACCAGUGGCGAAGGCGACUUUCUGGACUGUAACUGACGCUGAGGCACGAAAGCGUGGGGAGCGAACAGGAUUAGAUACCCUGGUAG